GAUGAAGAACGCAGCGAAAUGCGAUAAGUAGUGUGAAUUGCAGAAUUCAGUGAAUCAUCGAAUCUUUGAACGCACAUUGCGCCCCUCGGUAUUCCGUGGGGCAUGCCUGUUCGAGCGUCAUUUACCCCUCAAGCACUGCUUGGUGUUGGGCGUCUGUCCCGCUUCGCGCGCGGACUCGCCCCAAAGGUAUUGGCAGCGGUCGUGCCAGCUUCUCGCGCAGCACAUUGCGCUUCUCGAGGCGGUCGAUCGGCGUCCACGAAGCUCACCUCCACCGUUUGACCUCGGAUCAGGUAGGGAUACCCGCUGAACUUAAGCAUAUCAAUAAGAGGAGGA
rnacentral:misc_RNA from 1 species